rnacentral:rRNA from 1 species
GACGAACGCUGGCGGCGUGCCUAAUACAUGCAAGUAGAACGCUGAAGGAGGAGCUUGCUUCUCUGGAUGAGUUGCGAACGGGUGAGUAACGCGUAGGUAACCUGCCUGGUAGCGGGGGAUAACUAUUGGAAACGAUAGCUAAUACCGCAUAAUAGCAGUUGUUGCAUGACAACUGUUUGAAAGGUGCAAUUGCACCACUACCAGAUGGACCUGCGUUGUAUUAGCUAGUUGGUGGGGUAACGGCUCACCAAGGCGACGAUACAUAGCCGACCUGAGAGGGGGAUCGGCCACACUGGGACUGAGACACGGCCCAGACUCCUACGGGGAGCAGCAGUAGGGAAUCUUCGGCAAUGGACGGAAGUCUGACCGAGCAACGCCGCGUGAGUGAAGAAGGUUUUCGGGUCGUAAAGCUCUGUUGUAAGAGAAGAACGAGUGUGAGAGUGGAAAGUUCACACUGUGACGGUAUCUUACCAGAAAGGGACGGCUAACUACGUG